CACAUGCAGUCGAGGGGUAACAUUGUGCUUGCACAGAUGACGACCGGCGCACGGGUGCGUAACGCGUAUAGAAUCUACCUUUUACAGGGGGAUAGCCUUUAGAAAUGAAGAUUAAUAUCCCAUAGUAUUGAGACUUGGCAUCGAGACUUAAUUAAAGAUUUAUCGGUAAAAGAUGACUAUGCGUCCUAUUAGCUAGAUGGUAAGGUAACGGCUUACCAUGGCGACGAUAGGUAGGGGUCCUGAGAGGGAGAUCCCCCACACUGGUACUGAGACACGGACCAGACUCCUACGGGAGGCAGCAGUGAGGAAUAUUGGGCAAUGGAGGUAACUCUGACCCAGCCAUGCCGCGUGCAGGAAGACUGCCCUAUGGGUUGUAAACUGCUUUUAUACAGGAAGAAACACUGGUAUGUAUACCAGCUUGACGGUACUGUAAGAAUAAGGACCGGCUAACUCCGUGCCAGCAGCCGCGGUAAUACGGAGGGUCCGAGCGUUAUCCGGAAUCAUUGGGUUUAAAGGGUCCGCAGGCGGUCAAUUAAGUCAGAGGUGAAAUCCCAUAGCUUAACUAUGGAACUGCCUUUGAUACUGGUUGACUUGAGUCAUAUGGAAGUAGAUAGAAUGUGUAGUGUAGCGGUGAAAUGCAUAGAUAUUACACAGAAUACCGAUUGCGAAGGCAGUCUACUACGUAUGUACUGACGCUCAUGGACGAAAGCGUGGGGAGCGAACAGGAUUAGAUACCCUGGUAGUCCACGCCGUAAACGAUGGAUACUAGUUGUUGGGCAUAAGCUCAGUGACUAAGCGAAAGUGAUAAGUAUCCCACCUGGGGAGUACGGUCGCAAGACUGAAACUCAAAGGAAUUGACGGGGGCCCGCACAAGCGGUGGAGCAUGUGGUUUAAUUCG
rnacentral:rRNA from 1 species